rnacentral:rRNA from 1 species
CAGCAGCCGCGGUAAUACGUAGGGUGCAAGCGUUAAUCGGAAUUACUGGGCGUAAAGCGUGCGCAGGCGGUUAUAUAAGACAGAUGUGAAAUCCCCGGGCUCAACCUGGGAACUGCAUUUGUGACUGUAUAGCUAGAGUACGGCAGAGGGGGAUGGAAUUCCGCGUGUAGCAGUGAAAUGCGUAGAUAUGCGGAGGAACACCGAUGGCGAAGGCAAUCCCCUGGGCCUGUACUGACGCUCAUGCACGAAAGCGUGGGGAGCAAACAGGAUUAGAGACCCGUGUAGUCCCUGUCUCUUAUAC